rnacentral:lncRNA from 9 species
UUAGGUUACUGAUUACUAAAUGACUUGCCUACCACAGUAUGUCUCUUUUCUCAUUUGGGCUCAGACCUACUUAGAGUGUGGUGAUUGCGAUCAUGGAAACCAAUGACAAGUCCAGCUCUGCUAAUUUUUGACAUGGAGCCUCUUCAUUUCUGUAAAAUGGAUUUGGAGUGGCACCUACCUCAUGGAAGUUGAGAAUUUCUCAGCUUGGGGAGAAGUUCAGUGAAGACUGCUGGGAGAUAUCAGAAGACCUGUGUGUUCCUGAAAGCUGGCUCCACUCACGCUGUUGCUUGGACAAACAGACUUUCUUUCUGCCUCAAGUUACAUCUUCUUUUCAUUGAGUUCACAACUGGAGUGAGAGUGCUCGGAAGGACCAAAGAGGUUUUGUGUGUCGUGCCCCUGCCCCUAGAAGGGAUGUUCCUAAACUGCGCACCAAGUAAUGCUGUGACUCUCCUGGCACCUCGAAUUAAGGAACACCUUUCACAUCAAAACCGACACACCUCGGAUAAAGUCAGCAUUGGCUGAUGCGCCAAAUGCCCUCCUCUGUCCCCGAAAGCCGGCAGCGAAGCGGCGAAUGCCCCUCCAGUCACUGCGCUCCCCCUUGCCCUUGACCCUGGCUGGGCGAGGGGUUCCAUGCCCGGGUUCUGAGCCUCCGGGAGAAGGGAUGGCGGGAGAAGAGGGAGGGCUUGUGUCUGCUGGGGGAUGUGGGAAGUAGGCGCUAGCCUGUUUCGCGGUUUUUUAAGCCCCUUGGCGUGCCCUGACCUGAACAAGAGGGAGUCAACUGCUCUCUGGAAUGUUCUGGGAGAAGGUGGGAGACUGCUUCCAGAGGAGGCCUGUGGGUGCUGGAGGGCACCGGGGCG